rnacentral:rRNA from 1 species
UACGUAGGGCGCAAGCGUUGUCCGGAAUUAUUGGGCGUAAAGAGCUCGUAGGCGGCCUGUCGCGUCGGAUGUGAAAGCCCGGGGCUUAACCCCGGGUCUGCAUUCGAUACGGGCAGGCUGGAGUUCGGUAGGGGAGAUCGGAAUUCCUGGUGUAGCGGUGGAAUGCGCAGAUAUCAGGAGGAACACCGGUGGCGAAGGCGGAUCUCUGGGCCGAUACUGACGCUGAGGAGCGAAAGCGUGGGGAGCAAACAGG